UACAGAGGGUGCGAGCGUUGUCCGGAAUCACUGGGCGUAAAGGGCGCGUAGGCGGCCCGGUAAGGUUGCGGUGAAAGCCCGGGGCUCAACCCCGGGUCGGCCGUGGCAACUGCUGGGCUGGAGCACAGUAGAGGCGGGUGGAAUUCCGGGUGUAGCGGUGGAAUGCGUAGAGAUCGGAAAGAACACCAACGGCGAAAGUACUCUGCUGGGCCGACACUGACACUGAGAGACGAAAGCUAGGGGAGCGAAUGGG
rnacentral:rRNA from 1 species